AGUGAACGCUGGCGGCAGGCUUAACACAUGCAAGUCGAGCGGAGUGAUGGUGCUUGCACUAUCACUUAGCGGCGGACGGGUGAGUAAUGCUUAGGAAUCUGCCAUUUAGUGGGGGACAACAUUCCGAAAGGAAUGCUAAUACCGCAUACGUCCUACGGGAGAAAGCAGGGGAUCUUCGGACCUUGCGCUAAAUGAUGAGCCUAAGUCGGAUUAGCUAGUUGGUGGGGUAAAGGCCUACCAAGGCGACGAUCUGUAGCGGGUCUGAGAGGAUGAUCCGCCACACUGGGACUGAGACACGGCCCAGACUCCUACGGGAGGCAGCAGUGGGGAAUAUUGGACAAUGGGCGGAAGCCUGAUCCAGCCAUGCCGCGUGUGUGAAGAAGGCCUUUUGGUUGUAAGGCACUUUAAGCGAGGAGGAGGCUACUAGUACUAAUACUACUGGAUAGUGGACGUUACUCGCAGAAUAAGCACCGGCUAACUCUGUGCCAGCCGCCGCAGUAACAC
rnacentral:rRNA from 1 species